CACUGUUACAGUUCUUUCAGAAUCUGUCUAGCAAAUUUUCAGGCUUUUCCAGGAAAAUACCC
rnacentral:snRNA from 1 species